UAGCUUGCUAGACUGAUGGCGAGUGGCGAACGGGUGAGUAACGCGUAGGAAUAUGCCUUGAAGUGGGGGACAACUUGGGGAAACUCAAGCUAAUACCGCAUAAUGUCUAAGGACGAAAGCUGGGGACCUUCGGGCCUGGCGCUUUAAGAUUAGCCUGCGUCCGAUUAGCUAGUUGGUGGGGUAAGGGCCUACCAAGGCGACGAUCGGUAGCUGGUCUGAGAGGAUGGCCAGCCACACUGGAACUGAGACACGGUCCAGACUCCUACGGGAGGCAGCAGUGGGGAAUAUUGGACAAUGGGGGGAACCCUGAUCCAGCAAUGCCGCGUGUGUGAAGAAGGCCUGAGGGUUGUAAAGCACUUUCAGUGGGGAGGAGGGUUGAUAGGUUAAGAGCUAAUUAACUGGACGUUACCCACAGAAGAAGCACCGGCUAACUCCGUGCCAGCAGCCGCGGUAAUACGGAGGGUGCAAGCGUUAAUCGGAAUUACUGGGCGUAAAGCGUGCGUAGGUGGUUGAUUAAGUUAUCUGUGAAAUCCCUGGGCUUAACCUGGGCAGGUCAGAUGAUACUGGUUGACUCGAGUAUGGGAGAGGGUAGUGGAAUUUCCGGUGUAGCGGUGAAAUGCGUAGAGAUCGGAAGGAACACCAGUGGCGAAGGCGGCUACCUGGCCUAAUACUGACACUGAGGCACGA
rnacentral:rRNA from 1 species